rnacentral:rRNA from 1 species
AGUGAACGCUGGCGGUAGGCCUAACACAUGCAAGUCGAACGGCAGCACAGGAGAGCUUGCUCUCUAGGUGGCGAGUGGCGGACGGGUGAGGAAUACAUCGGAAUCUGCCCAGUCGUGGGGGAUAACGUAGGGAAACUUACGCUAAUACCGCAUACGACCUUCGGGUGAAAGAGGGGGAUCGCAAGACCUCUCGCGAUUGGAUGAGCCGAUGUCGGAUUAGCUAGUUAGCGGGGUAAUGGCCCACCAAGGCGACGAUCCGUAGCUGGCCUGAGAGGAUGAUCAGCCACACUGGAACUGAGACACGGUCCAGACUCCUACGGGAGGCAGCAGCGGGGAAUAUUGGACAAUGGGCGCAAGCCUGAUCCAGCCAUACCGCGUGGGUGAAGAAGGCCUUCGGGUUGUAAAGCCCUUUUGUUGGGAAAGAAAUCUUUCAGGCUAAUACCCUGGGAGGAUGACGGUACCCAAAGAAUAAGCACCGGCUAACUUCGUG